rnacentral:rRNA from 1 species
AUGGCUCAGAGUGAACGCUGGCGGCAGGCCUAAUACAUGCAAGUCGAACGGCAGCACAGCAGAGCUUGCUCUGUGGGUGGCGAGUGGCGGACGGGUGAGGAAUACGUGGGAAUCUGCCCAGUCGUGGGGGAUAACGUAGGGAAACUUACGCUAAUACCGCAUGCGCCCUUCGGGGAAAGCCGGGACCUUCGGGCCUGGCGCGAUUGGAUGAGCCCACGUCGGAUUAGCUAGUUGGCGGGUAAAGGCCCACCAAGGCGACGAUCCGUAGCUGGUCUGAGAGGAUGAUCAGCCACACUGGAACUGAGACACGGUCCAGACUCCUACGGGAGGCAGCAGUAGGGAAUAUUGGACAAUGGGCGCAAGCCUGAUCCAGCCAUGCCGCGUGAGUGAAGAAGGCCCUCGGGUUGUAAAGCUCUUUUGUCCGGAAAGAAAAGCGCCGGGUUAAUACCCUGGUGUCCUGACGGUACCGGAAGAAUAAGCACCGGCUAACUUCGUG